rnacentral:piRNA from 1 species
UCAGAAGCGCCCUGCCCAUGUUUGGUAAGC